AGAGUGAACGCUGGCGGUAGGCCUAACACAUGCAAGUCGAACGGCAGCACAGGAGAGCUUGCUCUCUGGGUGGCGAGUGGCGGACGGGUGAGGAAUACAUCGGAAUCUACCUUUUCGUGGGGGAUAACGUAGGGAAACUUACGCUAAUACCGCAUAAGACCUUCGGGUGAAAGCCGGGGACCUUCGGGCCUGGCGCGGAUAGAUGAGCCGAUGUCGGAUUAGCUUGUUGGCGGGGUAAAAAGCCCACCAAGGCGACGAUCCGUAGCUGGUCUGAGAGGAUGAUCAGCCACACUGGAACUGAGACACGGUCCAGACUCCUACGGGAGGCAGCAGUGGGAAUAUUGGACAAUGGGCGCAAGCCUGAUCCAGCCAUACCGCGUGGUAGAAGAAGGCCUUGGUGUAAGUCCUUUGUAGGAAGAAUCCUGACCGUUAAUACCAGUAGGAUAGACGUAACCCAAAGAAUAACGCACCGACUAACUCGUAGCCAGCAGCCGAC
rnacentral:rRNA from 1 species